AGUGAACGCUGGCGGCAGGCCUAACACAUGCAAGUCGAACGGCAGCACAGUAAGAGCUUGCUCUUACGGGUGGCGAGUGGCGGACGGGUGAGGAAUACAUCGGAAUCUACUUUUUCGUGGGGGAUAACGUAGGGAAACUUACGCUAAUACCGCAUACGACCUACGGGUGAAAGCAGGGGAUCUUCGGACCUUGCGCGAUUGAAUGAGCCGAUGUCGGAUUAGCUAGUUGGCGGGGUAAAGGCCCACCAAGGCGACAAUCCGUAGCUGGUCUGAGAGGAUGAUCAGCCACACUGGAACUGAGACACGGUCCAGACUCCUACGGGAGGCAGCAGUGGGGAAUAUUGGACAAUGGGCGCAAGCCUGAUCCAGCCAUACCGCGUGGGUGAAGAAGGCCUUCGGGUUGUAAAGCCCUUUUGUUGGGAAAGAAAAGCAGCAGGUUAAUACCCCGCUGUUCUGACGGUACCCAAAGAAUAAGCACCGGCUAACUUCGUG
rnacentral:rRNA from 1 species